CCUACGGGUGGCAGCAGUCGGGAAUAUUGCGCAAUGGAGGAAACUCUGACGCAGUGACGCCGCGUGCAGGAAGAAGGCUUUCGGAUUGUAAACUUCUUUAGACAGGGAAGAAAAAAGACAGUACCUGUACAAUAAGCUCCGGCUAACUACGUGCCAGCAGCCGCGGUAAUACGUAGGGAGGACGCGUUAUCCGGAUUUAUUGGGUGUAAAGGGUGCGUAGACGGAGAAGCAAGUUAGUUGUGAAAUCCCUCGGCUUAACUGAGGAACUGCAACUAACACUACUGGCCUUGAGUGCAGGAGAGGAAAGGGGAAUUCCUGGUGUAGCGGUGAAAUGCGUAGAGAUUAGGAGGAACACCAGUGGAGAAGGCGACUUUCUGGACAGUAACUGACGUUGAGGCACGAAAGUGUGGGGAGCAAACAGGAUUAGAUACCCCAGUAGUC
rnacentral:rRNA from 1 species